UACGGAGGGUGCAAGCGUUAAUCGGAAUUACUGGGCGUAAAGAGUGCGUAGGUGGUUAAGUAAGUUAUGUGUGAAAUCCCUGGGCUUAACCUGGGCAGGUCAUAUAAUACUGCAUGACUCGAGUAUGGGAGAGGGUAGUGGAAUUUCCGGUGUAGCGGUGAAAUGCGUAGAGAUCGGAAGGAACACCAGUGGCGAAGGCGGCUACCUGGCCUAAUACUGACACUGAGGCACGAAAGCGUGGGGAGCAAACAGG
rnacentral:rRNA from 1 species